UGCAUAUCAAAUAAGCGGAGGAAAAGAAACCAACAGGGAUUGCCUUAGUAGCGGCGAGUGAAGCGGCAAUAGCUCAAAUUUGAAAUCUGGCGCCUUCGGUGUCCGAGUUGUAAUUUGAAGAAGGUAUCUUUGGUUUUGGCUCUUGUCUAUGUUUCUUGGAACAGGACGUCAUAGAGGGUGAGAAUCCCGUCUGAUGAGAUGCCCAAUUCCAUGUAAAGUUCCUUCGACGAGUCGAGUUGUUUGGGAAUGCAGCUCUAAGUGGGUGGUAAAUUCCAUCUAAAGCUAAAUAUUGGCGAGAGACCGAUAGCGAACAAGUACUGUGAAGGAAAGAUGAAAAGAACUUUGAAAAGAGAGUGAAAAAGUACGUGAAAUUGUUGAAAGGGAAGGGUUUAAGGUCAGACUUGGUUUACCAGGCCAGCAUCGGUUUAGAUGGCAGGAUAAUGGCGUAGGAAUGUGGCUUUGCUUCGGUAAAGUGUUAUAGCCUGCGUUGAUACUGCCUAUUUAGACCGAGGACUGCGUCUUUGACAAGGAUGCUGGCAUAAUGGCCUUAAGCCACCCGUCUUGAAACACGGACC
rnacentral:rRNA from 1 species